GGCUUCCUGGCAGAGAGCUCCUUUCUCCAGCUUCAGCGGCUGCAGAUUCAUGUGCAAGGUGAAAAUGGGUUAGAUGGAACCAUAUGCCAAUCUUUGGAGCCAGGCAUAAGGCCUCACUCUGUCACCCAGGCCGGAGUACAGUGAUGCAAUCAUGGCUCACUGCAGCUUCCACAUCCCAGGCUUAAGUGAUCCCCCAACCUCAGCCUCCUGAGUAUCUGGGACUGCAGCUGUUACCUACUUUCUCUGCUGGGCUGAAGAGCGUCGGGUGCAAAUCACAGCCACGAUGACCACUACCAGC
rnacentral:lncRNA from 1 species